UACGUAGGGUGCAAGCGUUGUCCGGAAUUAUUGGGCGUAAAGAGCUCGUAGGCGGUCUGUCGCGUCGAAUGUGAAAACCCGGGGCUCAACCCCGGGCCUGCAUUCGAUACGGGCAGACUAGAGUUCGGUAGGGGAGACUGGAAUUCCUGGUGUAGCGGUGAAAUGCGCAGAUAUCAGGAGGAACACCGGUGGCGAAGGCGGGUCUCUGGGCCGAUACUGACGCUGAGGAGCGAAAGCGUGGGGAGCAAACAGG
rnacentral:rRNA from 1 species